AUUGAACGCUGGCGGCAUGCCUUACACAUGCAAGUCGAACGGCAGCACGGGUGCUUGCACCUGGUGGCGAGUGGCGAACGGGUGAGUAAUACAUCGGAACAUGUCCUGUAGUGGGGGAUAGCCCGGCGAAAGCCGGAUUAAUACCGCAUACGAUCUACGGAUGAAAGCGGGGGACCUUCGUCUCUCGCGCUUUAGCGUUGGCCGAUGGCUGUUUAGCUUGUUGGUGGGGUAAAGGCCUACCAAGGCGACGAUCAGUAGCUGGUAUGAGAGGAUGAGCAGCAACAAUGGAAAUGAGAAACGGUGCAGAAUGAUAAGGGAGGAAGCAGUGGGGAAUAGUGGGAAAUGGGGGCAAGGUUGAUAGAGCAAUAACGAGAAAGUGAAGAAGGAGUGCGGGUUGGAAAGAAGGAUGGAGGGGAAAGAAAAGGAGAAGGUGAAAAAGGAGGAGGGAGAACGGUAACGAAAGAAGAAGAACAGGAUAACUGCGUG
rnacentral:rRNA from 1 species